CGCUGGCGGCAGGCUUAACACAUGCAAGUCGAGCGCGUAGCAAUACGAGCGGCAGACGGGUGAGUAACGCGUGGGAAUCUACCCAACCCUACGGAAUAACGCAUGGAAACGUGUGCUAAUACCGUAUACGCCCUUUGGGGGAAAGAUUUAUCGGGGAUGGAUGAGCCCGCGUUGGAUUAGCUAGUUGGUGGGGUAAAGGCCUACCAAGGCGACGAUCCAUAGCUGGUCUGAGAGGAUGAUCAGCCACAUUGGGACUGAGACACGGCCCAAACUCCUACGGGAGGCAGCAGUGGGGAAUAUUGGACAAUGGGCGCAAGCCUGAUCCAGCCAUGCCGCGUGAGUGAUGAAGGCCCUAGGGUUGUAAAGCUCUUUCACCGGUGAAGAUAAUGACGGUAACCGGAGAAGAAGCCCCGGCUAACUUCGUG
rnacentral:rRNA from 1 species